AAACAGAUGACUUCGGUAUCCCUUUUUUAAAAAUAGAUCAUGCAUGAUGUACAUUUUUAGGGUCAUUUGCAUCAUCUCGGUUCGCCUAUCUUCCCAUUUUUGCUAAGUAGAUAAAACAUAAAGUACACAUAAAAAAAGCACACAGUUCUACAUCUAUGACGAAAUCAUGAAACGCAACUGAUUGACCAGUAAGAUUUUCAUGUUAUGUGAGAUGUAACUUGGAAGUGAGACUAUUUCUAAUCAUCAUGCCUAACCACGACUUUCAUGAUUUUCUAAUAACUAUAAAUAAAGUUGUUUUCGAUCAUCCUGUUUGUCUAUUUUCGCUGGUUUUACAUAUCAAACAUCAUUUCGCCAACUUCGCUGGUGAGUAAAAGUGCGAAAUGACGAAAGACCAGUCUGGUGGAGUAUAGGCAGACCUGAUCGAAGUCGGCCGACUCAUAAAAAUUAUCGACGCGGCAUAACAAAUUCGUGCAUAAUCUCUGUGUUCUAUCAGCCGUGUUGUUGAACACUUGACAUCAGUUUCGUCCCUGAAAACGUUCAAAAAAAGACGAAAGGGAGCGAGAUCCGCCGAAGACGGUGAAAAUAAUGGCCAAACCCGUCUGACCGUGACACUCGUCUGGAACAAGCGGACCACGUCGUUCGGAAAUGAUCGAACCGUCUUUGCACUCUUCAGAAAUAGGUUGACGAAGAAAGAACGUAAAUCUUACAAAAAUUUCCUCUUUUCUUUAACCAAAUUUGCAAUCUUAACAAAAAUUUUAAGAUUUCAUGGGAUUCAAAAUUGCGCAUUGUCGA